AGGACCCAGCGGGGCUGGGCGCGCGGAGCAGCGCUGGGUGCAGCGCCUGCGCCGGCAGCUGCAAGGGCCG
ensembl:miRNA MIR4508 microRNA 4508